rnacentral:rRNA from 1 species
CCCCUAGAUGUUCUGGGCCGCACGCGCGCUACACUGAACAGUUCAACAAGUCUUAACCUUGGCCGAUAGGUCUGGGUAAUCUUUGAACGCUGUUCGUGAUUGGGAUAGACCUUUGCAAUUAUGGGUCUUCAACGAGGAAUUCCUAGUAAACGCAAGUCAUCAGCUUGCAUUGAUUACGUCCCUGCCCUUUGUACACACCGCCCGUCGCGCCUACCGAUUGAAUGGUCCGGUGAAAUCUCGGGACGGCGGCUUGGUCGCUUGCGUCCGACUGCUGAAACUUGAUUAAACCAUAUCAUUUAGAGGAAGGCGAAGUCGUAACA